CGGGCUGGCCAGGCGAUCGCGUUGGUUCCUUUUUUGAAGGGAGCCGCCGAGGAAAGUCCGGGCUCCGCAGAGCAGGGUGGUGGGUAACGCCCACUCGGGGAAACCCGCAGGCCAGUGCCACAGAAAAGAAACCGCCGCUGACGGGAUUCUUCUUUGGGGAAUCCUUGUUUUUCGGUAAGGGUGAAAAGGUGGUGUAAGAGACCACCAGCGUUCCGGGCGACCGGUUCGGCUAGGUAAACCCCACCCGGAGCAAGGCCAUACAGAACACGGUUGAGGGCUGCUCGCCCGAUGUGUUCGGGUAGGCCGCUUGAGGGCGCCGGCAACGGCGUUCCUAGAUGGAUGAUUGCCGCCUCCGGCCCGGUAACGGACCGGGGAUACAAAACCCGGCUUAUCGGCCAGCCCGUCCC
rnacentral:RNase_P_RNA from 1 species